rnacentral:tRNA from 1 species
GUUUAUAUAGUUUAAUUAAAACAUUACAUUUUCACUGUAAAAACAAUAAAUUAAUCUUAUUUAUAAAUU